UACCAGCUCCCCGAGUGGUCAGGACGUUUAUUGGGCCUAAAGCAUCCGUAGCCGGCCACGUAAGUCCUCCGUUAAAUCCAACGGCUCAACCGUUGGCCUGCAGAGGAUACCGCGAGGCUAGGAGGCGGGAGAGGUGGACGGUACUCCGUGGGUAAGGGUAAAAUCUACUGAUCCACGGAAGACCACCAGUGGCGAAGGCGGUCCACCAGAACGCGCUCGACGGUGAGGGAUGAAAGCUGGGGGAGCGAACCGG
rnacentral:rRNA from 1 species